UCAAGUGUACAAAUUGGCAAUACUGUAUGUCUAUAUAUAGACUGUAUGUCUAUAUAUAUAUAUAUACAUAUAUAGACAUACAGUAUUGCCAAUAGACAUACAGUAUUGCCAAUAUAUACACUCAU